rnacentral:tRNA from 1 species
GCGGAAGUGGCGAAAUUGGUAGACGCGCUGGAUUUAGGUUCCAGUAUCUUACGAUGUGAGAGUUCAAGUCUCUCCUUCCGCACCA